rnacentral:rRNA from 1 species
AUUAGAUACCCGGGUAGUCCCAGCCGUAAACGAUGCACGUUAGGUGUAUCGAUGACCACGAGUCAUCGAGGUGCCGAAGGGAAACCGUGAAACGUGCCGCCUGGGAAGUACGGUCGCAAGGCUGAAACUUAAAGGAAUUGGCGGGGGAGCACCACAACAGGUGGAGCCUGCGGUUUAAUCGGACUCAACGCCGGAAAUCUCACCGGAUAAGACAGCUGAAUGAUAGCCGGGCUGAAGACUCUGCUUGACUAGCUGAGAGGAGGUGCAUGGC